rnacentral:rRNA from 1 species
UACGGAGGGUGCGAGCGUUAAUCGGAAUUACUGGGCGUAAAGGGUGCGUAGGUUGUUUUAUAAGUUGUCUGUGAAAUUCCUGGGCUUAACCUGGGCAGGUCAGAUAAGACUGUAGGACUAGAGUAUAGGAGAGGGUAGUGGAAUUUCCGGUGUAGCGGUGAAAUGCGUAGAGAUCGGAAGGAACACCAGUGGCGAAGGCGGCUACCUGGCCUAAUACUGACACUGAGGCACGAAAGCGUGGGGAGCAAACAGG